CCUACGGGUGACUGCAGUGGGGAAUAUUGCACAAUGGGGGAAACCCUGAUGCAGCGACGCCGCGUGAGUGAAGAAGUAUUUCGGUACGUAAAGCUCUAUCAGCAGGGAAGAAAAUGACGGUAACUGACUAAGAAGCCCCGGCUAACUACGUGCCAGCAGCCGCGGUAAUACGUAGGGGGCAAGCGGUAUCCGGAUUCAUUGGGUUUAAAGGGAGCGUAGGCGGGCGUUCUAGUCAGCUGUAAAAUCGCGCGGCUCAACCGCGCCGCGCAGUUGAAACUGGACGCCUUGAGUUCACAACAGGCAGGCGGAAUUCGUGGUGUAGCGGUGAAAUGCAGAGAUAUCACGAGGAACCCCGAUGGCGAAGGCAGCCUGCCGGGGUGCGACUGACGCUGAGGCUCGAAGGUGCGGGUAUCAAACAGGAUUAGAUACCCCAGUAGUC
rnacentral:rRNA from 1 species